rnacentral:ncRNA from 1 species
CAGCGUUCCUGGGGGGGCCCACUCAAUGGGCUGAGAUUCCGCUGUAUCGCGGUGACCCUUAGAACCUGAUCCGGAUCAUGCCGGCGAAGGGAAGGGAGUCUGCCCACGC